UUCUCCAAUUGUGAAUAAACAGCCACCCCAUAUUCCAGAUCAACCGGCACCCAUCUCUCCAAAUGUGAAUAUGCAGCGAUGCUCUGUUUUUGUUCGUCCUAUAAUUGAUCAAGAUCUUAGAAAAUCACCUCCAAUUUUAGAAGUAAACGGUAAACCAAAAACCCAUGGAAAAUUACAAAGCAUUGGUGAAUCUCUCUUCUAAUUCGUUUAGCAAAAUUCUCUUUAUUUUUUCACUUUUCUACUUGAUUUUUUUUUUUUUGAAAAAUUCAGUCGAUUUAGUCAUGUGGAGAGACGUAUCGAGAUCAGCAUUUGUGUUUGGAAUCGGGACAUUUUUCCUGCUUUCAUCCUCCUUCACUAAAGACCUUAAUUUCAGCUUAAUUUCUACGUCUUAUCUGGGUCUCAUCUAUCUUGCUUUAAUUUUUGUCUACACAUCAAUUCUCUGCAGGGAACUACAGAUAUAGAUGAUUCAAACCAGACACAUGUACUGGGGGAAGAAGAGGCAAUUUGGUUAAUAAAACUAAUUCUUCCUUACUUAAACGAGUUUCUGUUAAAGCUCAGAAGCUUGUUCUCUGGAGACCCUUCUACCACCAUGAAGGUAAUUCUCUCUCUCUCUCCAUUAAAUUACUAAGAAACAUGAAUUGUGAGAAAUGGCAGUUGGCAAUUUUGUUGUUUGUUUUAGCCCGGUGUGGAAGCUCCAUAUAGCCGGAAGAGCAACCGGAUCAUUGGUCACAUGUCAAGAGCAACCAGUGAUUCUCUUCCGGAGACUCGACAACGAAGCAAACACCAAUGCCGAGAGGAAAACCUUCUUGGGUUAGAGUAGAAAGGGUACCUACAAAGGUUAGCUCCAUUAUUGUCCGAGAAACUUCAGCUGGAGAUGGCUUUUUCUGCAAACCCUUCUGGAUGGGCUCUGAAACUACAGAAAACGAGCAUUUCAGAGGCUGAUACGAGGAUUUGAGAAAUGGAUUUUUCUCUAUAAGACUCAAAGUGGACCUCCUAAUGGGUUCAAUUGAAGAGAAAGUAGAAAAGAAAGAUAUUUCUGCAGAAGGUAGAAGUGGGGAAGAUGGAGGGAAGUGAAUUUAGUGUGAAAGGUUGCGUGUGAAGCACCAUCUGGCGACAUUGAAACAAAAUGAGUUUCACUGGACUUUUCUUAAUUGCUUACAAAUAUUUGAAGAACUGAAUGUGAUUAGAUCAGACUAGGAAGGAGAGCGGAGAAGAACCAGAGCUUAGUCUUCUGACAGAAAAUAAAUUUAGAAUCAGAUGAUAAUUAGAAGCUGGAUCUCGAAUAUGUUCUUCAUCACGAAGCAAUUCCCUCUGGCGGUUCUCAAGGAGAUGAUGAAGCAGAGCUUCUUCCGGGAUGUGUUGAAGAGAGGAGAAUGGAAGCGGCCCAAGGACUUGCAGAGGAUUGUCUUGUACGACACCCUAGUGGAACCCCAUUUGCAGAGGUAGAGAACAGCCGCGGCGGUAAUCCCCGAUCCCCUUUCUCUCCCCUUAUCGCGGCUGCUGUUCGUGGAUCGUGAGAUCGGGGAAGAAGAACAGUGUUUUUCUUGUACGGAGAUUUAAAAAUAUUGUAACCGCGAAUUUCAAUAGAAAGUUAACGGAAGGGGGUUUUUGUCUUAGGGUCAUAGUACAGGGGUCUUUGUUGCAAAAUAAAGUACAAGGGGAUUUUUGUCACAAAGCCCAUAGUACAGAGGGGUCUUUGUAUUUAUCAAAAAAAAAUAGAUGAAAUAAAACACUUGUGAAUCAGGAGCUCACUUAUAAACAGAACGCUUGUAAAACGCACC